rnacentral:lncRNA from 1 species
GCUGCACUGGGCUGCUGAGAGCGGAAACGUGCCCGCUUUCUGUCUGCUCUUCUGUCUAGCAUCACUUGAGUUCGAAGGAGCACAUUUGAUUUGAGUUUUGGUUUUUUUGAGACAGGGUUUUUUCCUGUAAUAGACCUAGAUCAGGAUGGCCUCAAACUCACCGAGACCCCCCCACUUCCACUGCGUCCCGAGUGCUGGGAUUAACGGGGUGCCCCACCGCGCCCAGCGACAUUUGACUUUUGUACUUUGAGGUUCUGCACCAGUUGACUGGUGUAUUUAAUACUGAACAUGUAGCAUCUUUGUAUCUGCAGGUACCUUCUUCAUAUGCAUGUUUCUAUGUUCCCAAGUCUCCAUGAUAGUGUUUCAAAAUAAUAUUUAUAAUCCUAGGCAAAACAAAACAAAACAAAAAGCACAUUGGAAGUUGAGCUAAUUACUUUUUGAUGCCUAGCCCAGUAUGCUUUCUUUUUUUUUUUUUUUUACGUAAAUUUUUCUGUACUAAGAGUCUUUUUAAAAAGUGUGAAGUGGUUUAUAAAAAUGUUGAUUCCAGUUGCCAGGUCUGUAUUGAGUGGUAGACAGCGUGCAGUACCUGCACCUUCUUUAGUUACACUUGUUUAUUCCUGUUGAGAAAUGUGAUAGCUUGCCUGGUAUUCAUGAAAGAGACCCUGGGUUCAGUCCUCAAUACCAAAUGAGAGAGGAAGGACACCCAUGGAACACUGGGGCCUCAGGAAACUAAAGGUCCUAUUGUGGUUUGUGAAAGAGCUUCACUCACCCCAGGAAGAUUUCUUGUGUAGAAAGUCCUCAGAGACUGUUGGUUAUCUCCUAUGUCUUUAAGGCAGCAGUCCAAUGAUGGUGAUAGCUAGUGUAGUGUUCAUGAAAAGCCUGCUGUGUGGUAGGACCUGUGUAGACCUGUGAGGGUUAAUGUAUGUAAUCCUUUCAGCCCGUGGAUGAGGAUAGAGGUUAAUCACUAGACCUAAAGGAGUUGCAGAAUUCCUGAUAAGGACGGUAGGCCAGUCAGAUUGGUGGAUGGCAGAAAGCCACAUGGAUUAUAGACCUCCAGUGCACGAGGCCACCAGAGACAAAAGGCAGUGGCGUAAAGCCCUAAAGUAAACACAUGGGUAUUGUUUUAGGGGAACAUAGGUCUUAUUCAGUGACAUAAGAGAAAAGGCCUGUUGUCUUAUGUGCAGAUAUGCAUAAAAUAGGUUGAUCUUUUAUUUUCAGAAUAAAGUGCUGAUACUGAAGUAAAUUUUUAUUAGUCAGGAGUCAAAUAAUUUUUGGAAGGGCUAUACUUACUUAAACUGUAUUUUCUACAUUUAAAAGUUAUUUUUAUUUGUUUAGGAUGGUUC